rnacentral:rRNA from 1 species
UACGGGGGGGCAAGCGUUGUUCGGAAUUACUGGGCGUAAAGGGCUCGUAGGCGGCCAACUAAGUCGGAUGUGAAAUCCCCAGGCUCAACCUGGGAACUGCAUCCGAUACUGGAUGGCUUGAAUUCGGGAGAGGAUGCAGAAUUCCAGGUGUAGCGGUGAAAUGCGUAGAUAUCUGGAGGAACACCGGUGGCGAAGGCGGCAUCCUGGACCGGUAUUGACGCUGAGGCGCGAAAGCC